rnacentral:rRNA from 1 species
ACGGAAGGCAGCAGUGGGGAAUAUUGGACAAUGGGGGAAACCCUGAUCCAGCGACGCCGCGUGAGUGAAGAAGUAUUUCGGUAUGUAAAGCUCUAUCAGCAAGGAAGAAAAUGACGGUACUUGACUACGAAGCUCCGGCUAAAUACGUGCCAGCAGCCGCGGUAAUACGUAUGGAGCAAGCGUUAUCCGGAUUUACUGGGUGUAAAGGGAGCGUAGACGGCAAAGCAAGUCUGAAGUGAAAUCCCGGGGCUCAACCCCGGAACUGCUGUGGAAACUGUUUAGCUAGAGUGCAGGAGAGGUAAGCGGAAUUCCUAGUGUAGCGGUGAAAUGCGUAGAUAUUAGGAGGAACACCAGUGGCGAAGGCGGCUUACUGGACUGUAACUGACGUUGAGGCUCGAAAGCGUGGGGAGCAAACAGGAUUAGAUACCCUGGUA